AAUGGAAUCGGGCCUUCGACUUUGCUCAAGUUAGGGCGAGGUUCUCCUCCUGUCCCUAACAGGGCUGUGGGGGCGCAUAUGGGCAUUGCAGGGCCUCUCCCCCCAUCCGGUCUAAACAGAACCGGGUCUUCGACUUUGCUCAAGUUAGGGCGAGGUUCUCCUCCUGUCCCUAACAGGGCUGUGGGGGCGCAUAUGGGCGUUGCAGGGCCUCUCCCCCCAUCCGAUCUAAACGAAACCGGGUCUUCGACUUUGUCGAGACGAAGUUUUCCUUUUGUUUUUGAUACAGUUUGUUUGGAUUGUCCAAAGACAUAUAGGUAUGCAAUUUUCAAUUACAACGAAGUUACUGGUAGUACAUCCGUAAGUUUUCUGAGCUCCACGGUCGUGGGAGGUCGGCUCCUCCGAGUUC
rnacentral:lncRNA from 1 species